AUAAUUGAAGAGCUUUUGGACGAGUUACAUGGAGCAGUGUGGUUCUCGAAGUUGGAUCUACAAUCAGGAUACCAUCAAGUAUGGUUGGCACCAGGCGAGGAAUACAAAACUACGUUCCAAACCCAUUCAGGUCAUUAUGAAUUCAAGGUAGUCUCCUUUGGGUUGACUGGGGGCCUGGCAACAUUCAACGGGGGACUCCAUACCACACUUCAACCCCUGCUCCGCCACUGUGUGUUGUUGUUCUUCGACGACAUUCUCGUUUUCAGCAAAACUCUGGAGGAUCAUGCCAGCCAUCUGCGACAAGUGUUCUAG
rnacentral:rRNA from 1 species